GGGUGUCUCCUCCCUCAGACCUGGAACUUCCGAGGCAUUUUACCCAAAGCUCCAGCACCUGACCCAAGGCUGGGCUGUGCUCUAUCCUCGGUGAAAGAAUGGAUGAGUCACAACUGAGUGAGUGGAGAGAGCUGAACGAAUGGGAAGACUGAUGCUUAGAGACUUGAGCAGCCUAGGCAAGGACCUGUGCUUAGAGGCAGAAGCAGUACUCAGAGGAAGAGCUCCCUGACCACAAAGUCCCAGGGUCUAGGAAGACUCAGGCACUGGAGUCUGUAUUUCCUGAGUCCGCCUCUCACUGCUGGAGCUGUUUAUCAUCGCUCCAACUUUCACUAAAAAGGAAAAACUAUCACUUAAACAAAGCCAUUGAAAACCCAGCAUCAUAUGUGGAUUUUUUAACAUAAAUAAAUCAUACAAACUAAGA